rnacentral:lncRNA from 1 species
CUCUUUUAAUUCAGGCUGGUAGGAGCUUACAAUGCAAUAUUCAAUAAAUUAUUAUUUCCAAGUGGCAUAACUCUAAUUAAAUAUUUUUUCACUAAUUUUAAAAUAUCAGAUACAUUGCUUACAACAUGUACAUAAAUGAGGUCAAGGUAAGAUGAACCCUGUCUGAAAGACAUGUAGACCUAACAAGGAUCCCAUACACCAAAUAUAUUUAUCCUUUUACUCAU